CUCUGGGUCCUCAGGAUUCAGGGCAGAAGGAG
rnacentral:ncRNA from 1 species